rnacentral:tRNA from 1 species
GGUGUUGUAGCUCAGUGGUAGAGCACUUGCCUAGCAUGCAUGAGGGCACUGAGUUCAAUCCCU